GCCAAAGGCAUGAUCUGGAGGGAAGAAGUGAGUUCACCGUCAACUAGACUAAACUGAAAGGGAAAAAGAAUCAUCUCAGCUUUUGCUACCUCAAUGUGAUACAGAAGCGGGGAAGUCCUUUAAGUACUCACUGGGAGAGUUGGCAACGCUCAUGGCAGAAUCACAGUACAAGAGGAGACAACAUUACCAAACGAGUCUGGAAACCUCCAGAGUCACUAACGGUUGUCUACAGGGAGUCUCUGUCUAGGUGUGGCUCAUCCAUUGGUAGCCUCCUCCUUCAAUAAUUUUUCCAAAGAUUCAUUUUCCGUGUCAGAAUUCUCACCUGGCUUCUGACUACAAUAAAUAUCUCACAAAAAAUAGUUGGUAACA
rnacentral:lncRNA from 1 species